rnacentral:rRNA from 1 species
GACAGAGGGUGCAAACGUUGCUCGGAAUUACUGGGCGUAAAGCGCGUGUAGGCAGAUUCGCCAGUCAGAUGUGAAAUCCCCGGGCUCAACCUGGGAACUGCAUUUGAAACUGCGAGUCUUGAGUGCCGGAGAGGGUAGUGGAAUUCCUGGUGUAGAGGUGAAAUUCGUAGAUAUCAGGAGGAACACCGGUGGCGAAGGCGGCUACCUGGACGGUUACUGACGCUGAGACGCGAAAGCGUGGGGAGCAAACAGG